AUUGAACGCUAGCGGCAGGCCUAACACAUGCAAGUCGAACGAGUGGCGGACGGGUGAGUAAUAUAUGGGAAAGUGCCCUAUAGGGGGGGAUAACUACUAGAAAGAGUCGCUAAUACCGCAUACUAUGGUGUAUGCCCAUAUGGGAUUAGCUAGUGGGUGGGGUAAGGGCUCACCUAGGCAACGAUCCAUAGCUGGUCUGAGGGGAUGACCAGCCACACUGGGACUGAGACACGGCCCAGACUCCUACGGGAGGCAGCAGUGGGGAAUAUUGCACAAUGGGCGCAAGCCUGAUGCAGCCAUGCCGCGUGUAUGAAGAAGGCCUUCGGGUUGUAAAGUACUUUCAGCAGGGAGGCGUUACCUGCAGAAGAAGCACCGGCUAACUCCGUGCCAGCAGCCGCGGUAAUUC
rnacentral:rRNA from 1 species